rnacentral:rRNA from 1 species
CGAAGCGUGCGAUUGGAUUGCACGUCUAAGCAGUAAGGCUGAGUAUUAGGCAAAUCCGGUACUCAUUAAGGCUGAGCUGUGAUGGGGAGAAGACAUUGUGUCUUCGAGUCGUUGAUUUCACACUGCCGAGAAAAGCCUCUAGAUAGAAAAUAGGUGCCCGUACCGCAAACCGACACAGGUAGUCAAGAUGAGAAUUCUAAGGUGAGCGAGCGAACUCUCGUUAAGGAACUCGGCAAAAUGACCCCGUAACUUCGGGAGAAGGGGUGCUCUUUAGGGUUAACGCCCAGAAGAGCCGCAGUGAAUAGGCCCAAGCGACUGUUUAUCAAAAACACAGGUCUCUGCUAAACCGUAAGGUGAUGUAUAGGGGCUGACGCCUGCCCGGUGCUGGAAGGUUAAGAGGAGUGGUUAGCUUCUGCGAAGCUACGAAUCGAAGCCCCAGUAAACGGCGGCCGUAACUAUAACGGUCCUAAGGU